UACGAAGGGGGCUAGCGUUGUUCGGAAUUACUGGGCGUAAAGCGCACGUAGGCGGAUAUUUAAGUCAGGGGUGAAAUCCCAGAGCUCAACUCUGGAACUGCCUUUGAUGCUGGGUAUCUCGAGUAUGGAAGAGGUGAGUGGAAUUCCGAGUGUAGAGGUGAAAUUCGUAGAUAUUCGGAGGAACACCAGUGGCGAAGGCGGCUCACUGGUCCAUUACUGACGCGGAGGUGCGAAAGCGUGGGGAGCAAACAGG
rnacentral:rRNA from 1 species